UACAGCCUCUGACAUUCUGUCCUCCACUCCAGUUUCACUGAGACACUCAAAAGGAAAGCAAGGCUGCACCUACAUGGCUGUGCAAAGAGCUGGAGGAAAAUGCAUAAGGUGUCUCAGCAUGUUCCCAGAGCCUGCAGUCUUGCCCUGCAAAUGCUUGCCUGACAUGAACAAGCACAAUCAGAGUUCAGCGGGGAGAGACAGGUGAGGCACAGAGUAACACGCCUGCAUAGCCAACAUGGACACUGCCAGCCUGUGGAUGAAAAGACCAGGACCAAGGAAAACCCAGAAUGUGAUGUGUUACACAUCUUGCGUCUACUGUUAAAAUAUAUCCAUAAAUAGUUAAAUUCUGUCCCCCAAUGUGUGUAGAGUUCGGGGAAGUGACUGGGUCAAUGCUGUUUCUCUGUACACCCACUUGUUACAACGAAGAGGAAACUGAAGGUGCUGGUUCUCCUGGCUCCCCAUCACUUCUAUUAAGAGGAUUAACCAGACAGCAAAGCAUGACUUGUUUGCUGUGAAACCUGUCCAGGAAAACAUGUGCAGAGCAUGAACGCUGUGAAAGCUUCAUAAUAUCGUACUGCAUAUUAUAUUUCUAGCAAUGCUUGGAGAACACAAGAUUAAUUGAAGCUAGGAGAGGAAGUGGUGAAAGUUCAGGUGAGUUAAAGAAAUCAAACAAACUCAAGGUGUAAGCAACCAAUUUAAAUUACCUCAAAUGAUUUGCUGUUAAUCUAGUUUGGCCAAAAUCACUUUCUUUAAAUGUGCUUUGGAGUUAACAGACUCUUUUCUUUUGCUUUGUUUACUGCAAGAACAGCACAUCCUGGAUAGAUAAAUGUAACCCUUCUGCCCGUCAGAGUUGGCAGCAACAAGGGCCGGGUUCAAUAUCUAGGGGAUCCAUUUCCAAUAACACAAUGCAAACCGGCUCGAGCCCCCACCCAGUGACCUGGGACAAAUAUAUACCACCCCCGCUGGGUGCCUCCAAGAGGCAAUACUUCCCCUCUCGCAAGCACAUAGUCUGAGUGUAGCAAAAGCCUUUUAAUAACAGAGAGAAACAAUGUGGCAUUAUGUUUGGGAAACACCACCAACAGGAUUCAUAACACAACCCAUGAGCAAAAAAAAAAACCCACCCCAAGCAAAUUGGGGCAUGCCCUUUUCCCUUUGGUUCUUGAGUCCAGCAACCCCAAAUCACUCAAAGUCCCAAAAGUCCAAUGCCCCAAAAGUCUCUGUCCCUGGUCAGGGCAGCCCCAGAGUUCGAAAGUUUAUCUGCGGAGCUUUACCUCCCAACCUGGGUGGAAAUGGGACGGGGGUAAGAGGCACCUUACAUGAUCUGAAGCUGACCGCCCCAUAGCUCCAUAGCAGCGCUCCGCUCCGCCAGCCGCCCCACGAACUCCUUCGCUCAGCUGCGCUCCGCUCCGCCAGCCGCCCCACGAACUCCUUCGCUCAGCUGCGCUCCGCUCCGCCAGCCGCCCCACGAACUCCUUCGCUCAGCUGCGCUCCACUCCGCCAGCCGCCCCACGAACUCCUUCGCUCAGCUCCACGGCCCACAAGCAGCUCCUGCCAUCCACAAACUGCUCCACCAGCCGGUCCGCAAGGCACUCCAGCCGGCCCGCCAACUGCUCCACAAUAUAUCUUCAGGCUCCCCCACUACUUAACACAACACUCAGUGAUUUCAGCUCUUAGGUGAAUUCAGCUUGUAGUAGGGGAGCCCCAGUGCUGGUGCACUGUCAGCCCAAAAUGAGCUCAGCAGCCUAUAACUAGACUUCUAAUGAAAUCAAAAUUAGCUCUGAUAUUCCACAGUGGAGAGAGGAGGAAGUGCAAUUAGCAUGUAAGGCCCUCACCAAGGAGCCCAUAGCCACCAAGUAUUAAUACUUGUCCCCAGCCUCUCUCCAUUCACACAGUUUUGGAACCCAUGACCCUUGCCUAGCGAGUGCUACUUAGUUGAUGGUGAAUCCCUCCAUCAUAACAAAAGGCCACAUACAGUUCCAAGCACAGUUCCCAUAAUCAGGGUAAUAACAAUUUAUUCUUCCUGCCCCAAUAACAGAGACACUGGGGAUCCCACAGCAGCCAAAGUGACCAUUUGGGCAGCUAUGGUCUCAUUCUAGGCGUGGUGGGUGUGCCUAUGCAAAUGAGAUCGGCCCCUGAAGUUCUUUUCCACAACUUGUCACACCUCACCACCAGAUGUCAGGGUGGAGCUCAUCCUGACACUGCUUACAUGACUAUCAAUGUCAUUGAUUCUAGGCCCUUUCCCCCCCAGAUUUCUUUAAUCUUCUCCCUAUACUAUUUCAGGAUACUGGUGUCAAAACACUCUCCCUUUAGCAGGAUCCUCUUAAAGGCUGAUGUUGUUGUGCAAUAUGCAGGAGCUCUGCUGCGGGCUCAUGAAGAAAUAUUAAGGUUACGAAUCACAAGAUCUGGACUCUGAUCCUGCUUUUUUUAUGUACUUCCUGCCUGACCAUUAGCAAAUCACAGCCUCACUUUCCCUAACUCCAGAAUGGAGCAGAAAUUCCCAAGAUGAGAUUUGACUCCGCUCAUCCUGUGUUGGUAGCCUGUGCUGUUGAUAUUCAGUAGCAGCUAUGCCGAUGAGGAAGCAAUAAAACAGAUGUCAGAAAAGUUUACAGCUGCUUAAAACAAAUCCCAGUGGCAUAUCCUAGUUUAGCAAAGAGGCCUGGCAUGUUGAAUGUUUGUCUUUUCACGUGAAUGUUUUCUCUCUUGCGUUAUUAGUAUUAAUAAAUCUUUAUAUAACAUGAUCACUCCAUAACAUCAUUUCAUUCCUCUCCUUUACAGAGUAUUUUCUUACUCACAUGAAGUAGUACCUAACUGCACUGAAUUCAGUGGAACUGUUUGUGGUGUAAGGUACUAUUCAGUGUGAAUAAGGGAUCAUAAUCUGGCCCUAAACCAGCUACAAUUGAUUUUACAGCUAGACAAAAGAAGAUGCUAAAAGAGGACAUCAUUAAAGAGAACACAAAAGAAAUGUCGCAGUGUCACCAGGUCUUGGAAUUUUUUUCAUAAAUCUUGGGUUAUUUGGUGUAUGUCAUAAAGCCCCAGCUCCUGAAUCCUCUGCUUAUGUGGCAAUCUCAGCUUUCUUUCUUUUUUUUAAGUAAGUUUCUAGGCCUAAGUGUUGAAGAGAGAGGCCUGAAAAGUGACCUGUGUGUACCCUAACUACUAACCUCACCAAAAGCAAAUAAAAACCUAGAAUGUA